rnacentral:rRNA from 1 species
UACGUAGGGUGCAAGCGUUAUCCGGAAUUAUUGGGCGUAAAGAGCUCGUAGGCGGCUUGUACACGUCGAACUGUGAAAACCCGGGGCUCAACUCCGGGCCUGACAGUCGAUACGGGCUGGCUUGAGUGCGGUAGGGGAGACUGGAAUUCCAGGUGUAGCGGUGAAAUGCGUAGAUAUCUGGAGGAACACCGGUGGCGAAGGCGAACAUCCUGGACCGGUAGUUGACGCUGAGGCGCGGAAAGCCAGGGGA